rnacentral:lncRNA from 1 species
GAAGAAGAAGCUUCAGCUUCUUUAUAAUACACCCGAAGACACUAUUCACUCCCGGGCAGCUUGAAAUCUGAUAACUUUCGCCGGAGCUCCCUGAGUGUCCGUUUGAGCUCAAACUUGACAGUCAUGUUCGGUUUUACGUACUGAGUAAGAAUAUAUUUUAAGUUUUCAGUUUCGACCCAUUUGGUCACCGAAAACUGUACCGAACUGUAAUCUUUAUCAGAUAGUUGUCGGAUUUUAUUUCUCACUCUACGGGUGUCAGAAAAAUAUGAAACUUUAAAUCUAGGCUCAUAAAAAUAUUUCUGACUUAUCCUCCGAUUUUCAUAAUUUUCUGAGAUUGUACAUUUUCUGCUAAUUUAUCUGUCCCGUUUCCAACAUAAAAUUCUAUAUCUUCUGUUUUCAUUCCGAUUUCAGCACAAGUCACUCCUGAUUUACGUUUUACUUCUAUGAAUCCAAUAAAAAUAGUUUCUCACACUAUUUUUAUUUAUUUUUAUUUUUAUACCAAAAUCUGGUAUGUUACAACAUAUCCUCACGCAACCUUACGGGCUCGUACUCCAAUACAUGU